AUUGAACGCUGGCGGCAGGCCUAACACAUGCAAGUCGAACGAGUGGCGGACGGGUGAGUAAUGUCUGGGAAACUGCCUGAUGGCGGGGGAUAACUACUGGAAACGGUAGCUAAUACCGCAUACCAUCGGAUGUUCCCAGCUGGGAUUAGCUAGUAGGUGGGGUAAAGUCUCACCUAGGCGACGAUCCCUAGCUGGUCUGAGAGGAUGACAAGCCACACUGGAACUGAGACACGGUCCAGACUCCUACGGGAGGCAGCAGUGGGGAAUAUUGGACAAGGGGGGCAAGCCUGAUGCAGCCAUGCAGCGUGUAUGAAGAAGGCCUUCGGGUUGGAAAGUACUUUCAGCGGGGAGGCGUUACCCGCAGAAGAAGCACCGGCUAACUCCGUGCCAGCAGCCGCGGUAAUUC
rnacentral:rRNA from 1 species